AGCGAAUGCCGUGCUUUCAAACUGUGUUUAAACACCUGAGGGUUGGUUUUUGUUUUUGUUUUGUACAUGAAACUGCAUGCUUUGUCAAUUUUUUUAAGGAUAAAGCAGUGUUUUUUCAGUUGUUUUAUUUAAUAUUUAAGUAUAUCGACAUUUGUGUAAACAAAGGUAAGCAGUGGCAGUGCAGUCCGGGACAAAAGAACUUCACAAUGGUAUUCUGGAAAAGUGAGGUGUACUUAUGGGGGAAAAUUCAGUUGCCAUAAGGAAAGUAAGAAGAAAUCAGAUACUACUUUUCUGGUUUGGGUUUGUUUAAUAACUGUUUGGCUGGUACUUCAGCUAUCAGUGCCAGUACAAAUACUUGUAAUCUACCCAUCGUUCCAUGUCAUAAUUCUCAAUGGUGAGUAGCCAAAGGCUCCCUGUUUUAUUAUUUUUUAGGCAGUUAUGAAUUUAUGUAUAAAGAAGGAUAGGUAUUUAAAAAAAAACUGACAUUUGUACACAUUCAGAGAUUUUCUGCAAGACUGAAUUGCUCUUCUCAGUUCUGCGUAAAUUUUUCAACCAGCUUUCCAUUCACUGAGCUGUUUGUAACAGGACUGCAGAUGGCAGCCCAUCACAUCAAAAGGCCUUCUAAGGAAAAAGGCUGGAGCAUAUGAGACUAUGUUGGCCUACCAGCGUAAUGAAUAUAUAGUGCAGAAGUGGAGGUGAAACUGGGGCUGGAAUAGAAUGGAGUAUACAUUCUAUACAUUCUAUACAUAUACAUCCCCCCUCUGCCCCAUAAUAUAUGCUUAGAUGGAGUGAAAGCACAAACCAUCGUUUAUGUAAAACCUGGUUACCUAUUCAAUGUUACAGCAGUCGUAACCGAUUUGCAAAGCCACCUUGGAAUAGAAAUUUCUCCCUUUCCCGCUGCUUGUUCUCCUGUCUUUUCCUACACACUUUACCCUGUCUUGGUUCUUGAGUCUCUCUUUUCUCUCCUCCUGCCUUGCUCUUUCUACUCUGCCCUUUCUGUACUGUCCUCCAUUUAACUUCUGUGUUGUCAUAUGCGCUCCCUGCCCCUCUUUGGCUAUACAUACCAUCACUUUUCUUCUCUGAAUCAGUGAUGAGCUAUGUUGGACCUACACCGAGUGGCUGAUUUUGAGGAAUAUACUGAGGUCCGUAAGGAUUUAUUUCCCUCAGGCCUUAACAGGAAGCUGGGCUAGAUCCAUCAACAACCUGGACAUCUGAGACAUACACAAUCCCUCACACCCUGCCUGCAGCCCAUUCCAGCCUGAAGGCUGUAUGCAUGCAUGCUCUCUGAUCAUCCUUUGUUCUGUAGUUUUGCUGCAGAGAGAGAACAGCUUGCACGCUCUCCACUUCUUCCAUAUGAAUUGUGCUGGAAAAUCAUGAAAUACUGGCAUGGAGGUGCUUCUUUACGCUUGCUACAGACUGUUCAGCAUCUGUUUCUGUGAAGAUUGCCUGGUGUUCUGAGAAUCAGGCAGAGUAAGGACGGGAAUGAAAACCACCAAGAAGAGAGAGAGGAAAAAAAGCCCUAAGUAGAUACAAAAUCCAAGAAUUGCAGAUGGUUACAGAGCCAGAAACCUCACGCUGUGUUGAACUGUCCCAGACAGCAAAUAGUCGGAUACAUCCAGACUGCCUCCAGACAGCCCCAAGGACAGCCCCUUUUGCUGCUCAGCAUUGUCUUUUGGUUUUCCUAGGUACUAUCAUCUCCUUCACACGGGAUGGUUUCACACUGUACCAAAAAGAAGAAGGUGCUCAAAAGUCUGCUUGAAUUCUGUGGCCAGCGAUUCAGCUCUUGUGAACGUGGAACACUAUACUGAGUGCAGAGCUCGCCAUUGCAUUUUGCAAAACUGUCACUGGGUUCCAGCCAAGUCUGCAGAAUGCAACUCAGAAAUCCUUCUAAACCUCACCACCUUCUGCUCCAAGUGCAAGGUGAUGUCCUCUGUUUUGCUCCUUUAUAUUGUAUUUAGACACAGUAAUCUGUAUAUCUGAACAAUCCUCUCCUCCUCACGCAGGUGAAAAAAAGACACUGCCCAAGAGGGAUAUCCCAUGGCACUCACACAAAACAAAGCCAGCAUAAAAAACCCCCCACUAUAUAAUGUUACCUACAUCCCUAAAUGCACAGCUUCCCACUGAGUUACUACAAUAACAAACAGUUCUAACAGUUGUUAUCAGAAACACCUUAUUUUUUCCUUCCCCCUCAUUUCACUUCAAAGUACAGAAACAGCUGGGUUGUCAUCUCACACUGACUCUUCCACUGCUUUGUGCUGAGCUACUUAUUAAUGCCCGAGAGUUUUGAUAGAUAAGCAGAUGAAAGCUGUGCAGAUGUAUAAAAGCACAACUCCGAGUUGUCUUUUCAGAUUACCCUUUACUCGUUUUGUUCUUAGUAAUUUCAGCAGUACAAACAAUGGUUUUCUUCAGAGGGAAGCAGUCAGAACAACCGAAAAUCUGUAGUGCUGGAGAUUUCGUGGACAUGAGAUAACUUCAAGAUUGUGCAAGAUUAGUUUGUCUUGCAUAUUUGUCCAUGCAAUAUUGUUUAUUAUCUAAAUAAGAAUAAAGAAAUGUUGACAAGAGAAGUUUGUUUCCUGCCAUACCGAUCCUUUGCCAGUCAUGUUGUGAAAUGUCUGCAUUUUUAGGUCUCAUAGCUAAAUUAGUGGCAACAAAAUGAUGAAGAGCUGUUUUAGACCUUGCUGUAAGAUUUGCCUUAGUUACAAUGAGCUUUAACUGUAUCAAUGUCUUCUACAAGGCUACACCUACAACUGUAAUACUGUUAAAACUCUUGGAGUCCAUCACUCUUAAUUAACCAUUUGUUAAUGCAGUCUGAUCCUUAGUAGUUCAUACAUUACCUGUAUAUAUAGCUCUAGUACAGAAGCUUGCAAAGCAUUUAAGUAGUCUUAACUUUACAAUGUAUACAGCUAUGGUACC
rnacentral:lncRNA from 1 species